GUGCAGCAGUCGCGAAACCUCCCCAAUGCCCGAAAGGGUGAGGGGGUCACCCCGAGUGCCACCCUCGUGGUGGCUUUUGCGGGGUCUAAAAAGCCCCGCGAAUAAGGGGAGGGCAAGACGGGUGUCAGCCGCCGCGGUAAUACCCGCUCCCCGAGUGGUGGGGACUAUUACUGGGCUUAAAGCGUCCGUAGCCGGCUGGGUGUGUCCCCCGUUAAAUCCACGGGCCUAACCCGUGGGCUGCGGGGGAUACUACCUGGCUUGGGGGUGGGAGAGGGCGGCGGUAUUCCCGGGGUAGGGGUAAAAUCCUCUGAUCCCGGGAGGACCACCAGUGGCGAAGGCGGCCGCCCAGAACACGCCCGACGGUGAGGGACGAAAGCUGGGGGAGCAAACGGGAUUAGAUACCCGUGUAGU
rnacentral:rRNA from 1 species